GGGCGCGGCGCCGGAAGCGGAAGUAGGAACAGAGGAAGUGGGGGGGGGUUGGCGGAAGUGCUACGGUGGCCGCGUGGGGUCAGGCGGAAGCGGUGCGGAGCGGUGCGGAGCGGAGCUGGCAUCAUGUCGGGCCGAGAGGGCGGCAAGAAGAAGCCGCUGAAGCAGCCGAAGAAGCAGACGAAGGACCUAGAUGAGACAGAUCUGGCAUUUAAACAAAAGCAGAAGGAGGAGCAAAAGAAACUUGAGGAGAUGAAAGCAAAGGCUGCUGGAAAAGGGCCCCUCGCCAGCGGUGGAAUAAAGAAGUCUGGCAAAAAGUAGCUCCAGGCUGCGGGGUGAGACGCGUUCAAGUCACUCAAUGGAUCCGCAGCCUUCAGAACAUCAAGAAAACUCACUAGCACUUGGGAAGCAUUGUACAUUUUGUUUAGUCGGAAUAAAACUUUUUUGUUAAGAGGUUAUAUUUUCUCUCUUUACUGUAGGUUUUGUUGUGAAAAGGUUAAUCUGGAUGCUCAGGUUUAGUUGCAGCUGUCCAAGACAGGGCUGUACCAACGUACGCUCUGACAGGAGCUGGAAGGUUUGUGUGAACGGAUCGCGUCAUGCUGCCGCUGCCCGCUCCUACGGGUUCCCUACGACUCCGCCAGCACCGCGCCCACUCCGCACCUCUCUGUGGUGGCGCUGCCCGGAGGAGGUGCGCGCCUUCCCCCUGCUCGCGGUGCUAUGGCGCCGCCCUGCGGUCACACGCCCUCGCUCGUCGCUAUCUUGCGCGUGCGCGGUGCCCUCCUGCGGGCCGCCACGCGUGAGGAUGCGCAUUGGUUACGUCCGCAGGGCGCUCCUCUCCAGCUGCAAGAGGGUUGCUGGCGCAUGCGCAAUGCUCCUCCUGCCUUAAGGGGCUGCCGCCUGCUGGGCUGCGGGCAGAGCGCGGGCGCCGCACUGCGCAUGCGCUCUCCUGCAGCAGCUUUUCCCGCCCAGCUGGCUCCCGCCUUGCGCUGAGGGGGCGGUGUGGCCGUGAGGUGUGCCCUGCUGCCUCCCCCUCACAGCGCAGCGCCCACCUCAGGGAAAUAGCUUACACGACAGCAAAACGCUGAUGGCCGGGCCGUGAAAAUCCAUCCCGCGCGAUUAGAGGCUGGGACGCACAGAUGAACUGCCCUGCAAAUUCAAAGUGCUAGGAGAAGCUGAGCAAGUAAAGAACAAAGCUGCUAGCAGGAUAACAGGCUUGCUUCAGAUUUUGUUUGCAGGUGGACACUUGUAGCCCUCAAAAUUUCCUACAACAGAUGAAGAAAAUAUGGCUGAAACUCCCAGUGCAAUCAUGAGAAAGGAUAUUUCAAAUUUACAUAGUUCCUAUCUGUUUUGAGACAUCUUCAACGCUGCUGGGGAUGUCCGUUAUCUCCUUAGAUGGGAUUUAGUUCAGACAGCUCCUCAGCUGAAACCAGAGCAAGGGUUUAAAGCUCACAGUAACCUAAUGCAGCGUCAGAAGAGAAUCCAGGCUGCCCUCAGUGCAUACUGCAUUUGAAGCUCCAAAAGCACAGUUGCUCCUGCAGUAUGAUAUGGACAAGCUUGUCCAAACCCAACACCAACAGCACUGUUUUCACCAUUUUCAUUAUUAUUCACAUUCCUCAGUCCUGUACAAGUGAAAAUGACUCUUCUAGGAAACAAACACUUCCCUGAAGCCUCACGUUUUCUGUACAAGAACACUGGAAGUGAAGCUGUAUGCUAAUGAGGGGAAACAACCUUCCCCAUGCAGUUUGCUUUCUGUGCUGACAGUUUUCCCCCAUCUUUGAGUUACAGGUUAGAU